rnacentral:pre_miRNA from 1 species
AUAUGAAUCACCUAUGGAUGUUGUUAAAAUUCAGAUUCAGAUUCAGUGUGAGGUGGGGCCUGAGAUUCUGCAUUUCUAACAAGCUCUCAGGUGAUGUUGAU